rnacentral:rRNA from 1 species
UAUUGGACAAUGGGCGAAAGCCUGAUCCAGCCAUGCCGCGUGUGUGAAGAAGGUCUUCGGAUUGUAAAGCACUUUAAGUUGGGAGGAAGGGCUUUAGGCUAAUACCCUGAAGUUUUGACGUUACCAACAGAAUAAGCACCGGUUAAUCCUGCGCCACCACCCUCGGUAAUACACAGGGUGAAAGCGUUAAUCGGAAUUACUGGGCGUAAAGCGCGCGUAGGUGGUUCAGUAAGAUAGGUGUGAAAUCCCCGGGCUCAACCUGGGAACUGCUUUCAUAACUGCUGAGCUAGAGUACGGUAGAGGGUAGUGGAAUUUCCUGUGUAGCGGUGAAAUGCGUAGAUAUAGGAAGGAACACCAGUGGCGAAGGCGACUACCUGGACUGAUACUGACACUGAGGUGCGAAAGCGUGGGGAGCAAACAG